GGGGAUCUGGCAUGUUUAUGGGAAGCGGUUCUAAAACCCUAUGUGUGUACGUCUACACGCGUGUUUCAAGCACACAUCUCCUUGGGGAGAACAUGGUUUCCUCUUGCUGGCCGGAGAGGAGUUAAUUUUUUGCGGGCCGCCGAGGCAUUACCGCUAAUGUAUGCAAGAGCUUUAUCCCCUAUUAAUAGAAAACCGGCCACAGUGACCCCAGAUUCCUCCGAGUUAAUGGGUUACCGCAUGUGCUGCUGGGGCGUUUCUUAGACAGGAAACAAAUUGCAAUAAGAUGUAAGCAGUUUUUAUUACCUUAAUCCUUUGGGGCCUAAGUUUAGGAGAGUAUGCAAAUAGAAGUUCAUCAAAGUGCUUUCUCUAUGGCGCGUGAUUGCGCUUUUUGUUGGAUUUUAUCCGUUAGUCACCAAAAGCGGCUAGAAGAGGUUUGGGGUCACGAUCUCCCGCGCAGGGUCUGACUCUGCCUAGGAAACCAGAGAAGGGCUGGUGAACCUGCCCUCACGGGCUUGGAUCCACUGCACACUCUUGCGCAUUGAAAUGGAGGGGUGCAAGCUUUGGAAAGAGCUACAUGCUGUUUAAACAGGCACUUUCUCCUUCGCUGGGGCUUAUUUUUGUUCCAGAACUAGAGCAGUUUUUGAUCCUCCGUUGGGGGAGGGCUGGGGAAUCCUCUUUGGUGUCCUUAAUCCUGUCUAUCCCUUGGAAUUUGCUUGCUGGCCAGUAGGAGAGCCGGCUUUGGAAGGGAGCUGCACAGCUCCCUGACCCCAACACCGCCUCCUGAGACGGUGAAGUGGCAUCACUGGCCACAGAGGUUUUGAGCCAGUUAGCCCCGAGACUGGGUUAGAAUGUAACAGCUUUAACUUGGAAUUUAAGAAGCUUUUUAAAAACAAUCAUUUGAAAGAAAAAAUCACGUAACCACAUUGUGUACUCUCAAAGCUGGUUUUUUAUGAAGGACAUUUGGUCACGAAUUCAUACUUGCCAAUAAGUCAAACAUAGAAGUCUUUACUUAUAUACUUACAUUACUAAAUAUACAUCUGCAUCUAUUUUUAAAAUCGAUCUUCUGGAAGGCAGGAGGUCAUGGCAUAACCUACUGGAACCACAGGUGUAAAUGACAGAAGUUAAGCGGCCGAUGCUUCUUUUGGUCACUAAAUAAGGAAAUGGGUCCAGGCUGGAAUUUACCAGAGAGGAGCCACCAGCUCCCACCUGUGGUCCAAAGAGAUAAUCAUUGGGGAAGUAAGGCUGAGAAAACAAAUGCAUUUAACUCUAAAGAGAAUCUGAAAUAAAAUCCAGAGACUUUGGUUUGGUUAAAAACUGACGAGGAUUUUUUUCUUUCUUUUUUACCCCCGAAGUGAGAAAGGGGACCAGGAGGAGGGACCUGGCAGUUUUUCACAAGGGCAAGUUGGAGGGCCAAGGGGCAGAGACAAAUAGCAGCAGGAGUGCUCAACCAGUCCUGAGGGCCCCACUCCCAGCCCAGCCCACUCCACUCCUCCUCAGCGCAUAGACUCCAGUACCUGUAACAGUGGAAAGAAAAACCUGAUAAAAAAUCAAUAACAGAAAUGAAUUUGGGCUGGCUGAACUAGAGAUUGAAAUAAAAGCCUGCAUGGAGCUAUAGAUUUUGAGGCAAGACAACAGAGGAAUUUACCUGUUUUCUUCUUAUGAGUAGAUGGUUUCAUUUUUUAUCCAGUGUGGUAGACAGCCUCCAAGAUGACCCCAGUGAUCCCCACCUCCAGCUGCAGCUCAGAUACCUGAAGUGUGAUCUCUGGAUACAUUCAUGAGCUGGUUUUAUAUGACCACAGAGCCUCCUGAGGAAGACCGACAUGGCAGGAUGCAGUUCUGCAGACUGUCCUGCAUUGGCUAGGAUCCACCGAAAGUGCAUCAUUUUGCUAUGCCCUCCAGGACUCGGUCAUCUUACUCAGGAAUAACCAGCUUUUGGGAAAACCAGCUGAUAUAGAAAUAAACAUUUAUUCCUACAAAACAACGGUUAUUUUAGUGAAUAGCGUGUCUUUUCUUAAGGUAGUUAACCCCUCCUGUGAAUGGUUUCUCAUCUGUAAAAUGGCAAUAGCUAUUUCCACCUUAUAGGGUUUUAUGAGGAUUAUACUGCUAAUACUUAGAAAGUUCCUAAUGCCUCACACACAGUAAGUGCUUAGUAAAUAUUCUUACUCCUAGGAUUGAAGAGCUGUUACUUCAUUCUCCCAGGCUAGAACUUUAACUCCUUCCUCUCCCUUGCUCUGCAUAGUCAACCAAUUACCACAUUACAUCAAGUCAAGAUUAAGUACUCUCUUAAGCAUUCCCUUCUCCCCACCUUACUCCCUCUCCACAGCCACUCUCCUAGCUUAGGCCUUCAUUGUUUCUUGCCUAGUGCAUUCCAUGGGCCUCUGGUCCAAUCCAGUUGAGUCACCAUGCUGCCGUCAGGGUGAACUUGGAAGAUAGGAACUUGAUGGUGUCACCACCUUCCACAGCUUCCAAUGACUCGUAGAACUGGGAUGACCUGGGAGUAGGAGAUUGUUAAAAUACAGGCUCCAGGGCGCCACCGCACACUCUACAAGAUUCUGAAAUGACCGUCUCAGAGCAGAGAGCUGUAUGCAGUCAGGAAGCAGUUCAGGGAGAGGGUCCCCAACUGUGGAUUCUGUAGACUCAUGGUGGAUGAAAGUUGGCAGACCCUCCCAGUAGGCCAUGUGUCCUCCCUUGGCCUCCACGUGUGCCUUUCUCAACGUGUGGCCCCACUCUUUGUUUCUGGGAUGCAGUCAGUACACAGGGAUUUGCACCUUUAGAAAACGAUGCUAACAAAAAUCAACCUAAAUACUGAUGGUGCCAUCUGUGGAUUCUCUCCCCGGAAUUAACCCACAUCAAAAUGAUAGUUUGUACAUGAAGCUCAGCAAGAGUAUAAUUUAUAUCUCAUCCAAAAACAUAACGAGCGUGUGAUCUGUUAUAAUAGCAAUUGUGAGAGAAGCUGUUGGCAACUGACAAAGAGUUAUAAAAGAGAAGACAGACUUAAACAGCAUCUUUCUAUGAGAGAGUAAUGUUUCUCUUGGAGGUGGGAGUAUUACAGCCACUAAAAAGGUAGAGCCGAGAGAAACUCCCACCUCUAGGCCUGAAUAAAAAUCUCCCAUGAAAGGGGAAAUCAUCAAAUGACCCAAGAUGCUUAAGGUGGUCCCAAGUGCCCUGCCAGUAAAAGGAGUCCAGAACACAAGACUGAUUACCCUGGGAAGCAGGGAUUCCAGGAGGAUCUUUCACACUCAGGCUGUGUAGCAGGAAAUUUUUAUUUGGCACGUGGUUCAUCCAUCAGUCUCCUAUUGGUGGGGCUCACGUGAGGCUGCAAAGCUCAGACACCUGCCCUUUGGACCUGCCGGCCCGCCAACUGCCAAAGGAGACACACCCUCGCGUGGACCCGUGGUUUAAGGGAGAGAGUCCCGGUGCUCAGGUCUUGGUGGGGUAGGUGUCACGACACCCGGGUUUGUAUUGCACUUUUACCGCGACAGAUCAUGCGCGCCCCUAAGCAUUCCUGCUCUUGAUCCGAGUGUCCUGAGUGGGGCUGAGGCAGCCUUCUUUCCAGGCGACUGUGAAUGACAGUCCCUGGCCAGCGGCUGGGACAGCCCUUGUCCCGCGAGAGUGAGCUUGCUCGCGCCGGCGCC
rnacentral:lncRNA from 1 species